rnacentral:rRNA from 1 species
GAUGAACGCUGGCGGCGUGCCUAACACAUGCAAGUCGAGCGAGGAACCAUCGAUUGAAACUUCGGUAGAUAUUGAAGGCGGAAAGCGGCGGACGGGUGAGUAACGCGUAGGCAACCUGCCCUUUGCAGAGGGAUAGCAACGGGAAACUGUUAUUAAAACCUCAUAAUACCGUAAUGUCAAAUGAUGAAACGGUCAAAGAUUUAUCGGCAAAGGAUGGGCCUGCGUCUGAUUAGUUAGUUGGUAGGGUAACGGCCUACCAAGGCAGCGAUCAGUAGCCGACCUGAGAGGGUGGAUCGGCCACAUUGGAACUGAGACACGGUCCAAACUCCUACGGGAGGCAGCAGUGGGGAAUAUUGCACAAUGGGCGAAAGGCCUGAUGCAGCAACGCCGCGUGAAGGAUGAAGGCCUUGGGUCGUAAACUUCUGUCCUUGGGGAGAAAAAAUGACGGUACCCUGGAGGAAGUCCCGGCUAACUACGUGCCAGCAGCCGCGGUAAU